AGUCUUAUAGUUAAAAAUAAUAUAAAAUUGCAAAUUUUAAGUUGAAGAAAAAUUCUAAGGCUU
rnacentral:tRNA from 1 species